AUGCAUGCUCGAGCGGCCGCCAGUGUGAAAUCAACGCUGGCGGCGCGCCUAACACAUGCAAGUCGAGCGAGAAAGUGGAGCAAUCCAUGAGUAAAGCGGCGCACGGGUGAGUAACACGUGGAUGAUCUACCUUCUGGUGGGGAAUAACCUGGGGAAACCUGGGCUAAUACCGCAUAAGUCCGAGAGGAGAAAGCAGCAAUGCGCUGGAAGAGGAGCCCGCGGCCGAUUAGCUAGUUGGUAGGGUAACGGCCUACCAAGGCUAUGAUCGGUAGCCGGCCUGAGAGGGCACACGGCCACACUGGCACUGAAACACGGGCCAGACUCCUACGGGAGGCAGCAGUGGGGAAUCUUGCACAAUGGGGGAAACCCUGAUGCAGCGACGCCGCGUGAGCGAUGAAGCCCUUCGGGGUGUAAAGCUCUUUCGGCAGGAACGAUAAUGACGGUACCUGCAGAAGAAGCUGCGGCUAACUACGUGCCAGCAGCCGCGGUAAUACGUAGGCAGCAAGCGUUGUUCGGAAUUACUGGGCGUAAAGAGUGUGUAGGCGGUUGUCUAAGUUUGGUGUGAAAUCUCCCGGCUCAACUGGGAGGGUGCGCCGAAAACUGGACGGCUGGAGUAUGGGAGAGGAAAGCGGAAUUCCUGGUGUAGCGGUGAAAUGCGUAGAUAUCAGGAGGAACGCCUGCGGUGUAGACGGCUUCCUGGACCAUGACUGACACUGAGGCACGAAAGCGUGGGUAGCAAACAGGGUUAGAUACCCUGGUAGUCCACGCCCUAAACGAUGCGAACUUGGUGUGCGCCCUUCAUUGGGUGCGUGCCGAAGCUAACGCGAUAAGUUCGCCGCCUGGGGAGUACGGUCGCAAGGCUGAAACUC
rnacentral:rRNA from 1 species